CCUACGGGGCGCAGCAGUGAGGAAUAUUGGUCAAUGGGCUUACGCCUGAACCAGCCAAGUCGCGUGAGGGAAGACUGCCCUAUGGGUUGUAAACCUCUUUUGUCAGGGAGCAAUUGGCGCUACGUGUAGCGUUAUCGAUAGUACCUGCAGAAAAAGCAUCGGCUAACUCCGUGCCAGCAGCCGCGGUAAUACGGAGGAUGCGAGCGUUAUCCGGAUUUAUUGGGUUUAAAGGGUGCGUAGGCGGAAUGCCAAGUCAGCGGUAAAAUCGCGGGGCUCAACCUCGCUCCGCCGUUGAAACUGGCGUGAGUGAGUGGGCGAGAAGUAGGCGGAAUGCGUGGUGUAGCGGUGAAAUGCAUAGAUAUCACGCAGAACUCCGAUUGCGAAGGCAGCAUACCGGCGCCCAACUGACGCUGAAGCACGAAAGCGUGGGUAUCGAACAGGAGUAGAUACCCGAGUAGUC
rnacentral:rRNA from 1 species